rnacentral:tRNA from 1 species
GGUGGCUAAGUGGUAGAGUGCAUGCCUUGCAUGCAUGAAGCCCUGGAUUCGAAUCCUCAGCACCA